GUACAAAAUGGACAAUUGUGCAUUAAGUACAUUAGUACAAACUCCAUGCUUGCGGAUCCGCUCACUAAGGGAUUUACACCAAAAGUAUUUCAUGAGCAUAUUGCUUGUAUGGGUGUCAAAUCAGAUAAGGAUUAUGUAUUUUAGUGGGAGUUUUGUAUUGUAAAUUUAUGUAUUGUCCAUUAUAUUCAGAAAUUUAGUAAUUUCAGUUAUGUCUGCGCAGAUAUUCAGUUUUAAAGUUUUGUACUCUUACAGUUUAUGAUUGAUCCCAAUAAAGAGAACCAGUUGGAAAUAGACAUUAUAUUGACCACACUUUAUGUUAUUUCCAUGCUACAUACCUACACUUGAUCCAUGUCGUUGGUUAU
rnacentral:lncRNA from 1 species